GGGGAUGUAGCUCAGUGGUAGAGCGUCCGCUUUGCAUGUGAAAGGUCCCGGGUUCGAUCUCCGGCAUCUCCA
rnacentral:tRNA from 1 species